rnacentral:rRNA from 1 species
GAUGAACGCUAGCGGCAGGCCUAAUACAUGCAAGUCGAGGGAGAAUGUUGGAUUCGUCUGACAUGAAACCGGCGCACGGGUGCGUAACACGUAUGCAACCUACCUUUAACUGGGGUAUAGCUCAGAGAAAUCUGAAUUAAUCCCCCAUAAGACUACGACAUGGCAUCAUGAUGAAGUUAAAGCUCCGGCGGUUAAGGAUGGGCAUGCGGUACAUUAGCUAGUUGGUGAGGUAAUGGCUCACCAAGGCUACGAUGUAUAGGGGGUCUGAGAGGAUGAUCCCCCACACUGGUACUGAGACACGGACCAGACUCCUACGGGAGGCAGCAGUAGGGAAUAUUGGUCAAUGGACGCAAGUCUGAACCAGCCAUGCUGCGUGAAGGAUGAGGGCCCUAUGGGUCGUAAACUUCUUUUAUUAGGGAAGAAAAAACGGGAUGCGUCCUGUACUGACGGUACUUAAUGAAUAAGGAUCGGCUAACUUCGUGCCAGCCGCCGCGGUAA